CCGGUGAACUGCUGUGCAGGGGCGC
rnacentral:miRNA from 1 species